rnacentral:rRNA from 1 species
CCUACGGGAGGCAGCAGUGGGGAAUAUUGCACAAUGGGCGCAAGCCUGAUGCAGCCAUGCCGCGUGUGUGAAGAAGGCCUUCGGGUUGUAAAGCACUUUCAGCGGGGAGGAAGGCGUUAAGGUUAAUAACCUUGUCGAUUGACGUUACCCGCAGAAGAAGCACCGGCUAACUCCGUGCCAGCAGCCGCGGUAAUACGGAGGGUGCAAGCGUUAAUCGGAAUUACUGGGCGUAAAGCGCACGCAGGCGGUCUGUCAAGUCGGAUGUGAAAUCCCCGGGCUCAACCUGGGAACUGCAUUCGAAACUGGCAGUCUAGAGUCUUGUAGAGGGGGGUAGAAUUCCAGGUGUAGCGGUGAAAUGCGUAGAGAUCUGGAGGAAUACCGGUGGCGAAGGCGGCCCCCUGGACAAAGACUGACGCUCAGGUGCGAAAGCGUGGGGAGCAAACAGGAUUAGAUACCCUUGUAGUC